rnacentral:pre_miRNA from 1 species
UUAAGUCAAAUUUGUAUAGAGCAUUUGCCUAUGUUUGCCGCUAGGGGCACUGUUCCAGCUACAUACAAAUUUCAGGUA